UGCUUAAAACGUCUUUCCUUCUAGCAUCU
rnacentral:piRNA from 1 species